rnacentral:rRNA from 1 species
GUCCACGCCCUAAACGAUGUCAACUGGUUGUUGGGAAUUCACUUUCUCAGUAACGAAGCUAACGCGUGAAGUUGACCGCCUGGGGAGUACGGCCGCAAGGUUAAAACUCAAAGGAAUUGACGGGGACCCGCACAAGCGGUGGAUGAUGUGGUUUAAUUCGAUGCAACGCGAAAAACCUUACCCACCUUUGACAUGUAUGGAAGAUCGCAGAGACGCGAUUGUGCUCGAAAGAGAGCCAUAACACAGGUGCUGCAUGGCUGUCGU